ensembl:snRNA U6 U6 spliceosomal RNA
GUACUCACUUUGGCAGCAUAUAUACUAAAAUUGGAACGAUACACAGAAGAUUAGCAUGGCCCCUGCACAAGGAUGGCACACAAAUUCAUGAAACAUUCUAUAUUAAU